UCCAGACUCCUACGGGAGGCAGCAGUGGGGGAUAUUGCACAAUGGGGGCAACCCCGAUGCAGCGACGCCGCGUGGGUGAAGGAGUGCUUCGGCAUGUAAAGCCCUAUCGGCAGGGAAGAAGCAAGACGGUACCUGACUAAGAAGCCCCGGCUAACUACGUGCCAGCAGCCGCGGUAAUACGUAGGGGGCGAGCGUUAUCCGGAUUCACUGGGUGUAAAGGGAGCGUAGACGGCUGCGCAAGUCAGAAGUGAAAGCCCGGGGCUCAACCGCGGGACUGCUUUUGAAACUGUAUAGCUAGAGUGUAGGAGAGGUAAGUGGAAUUCCUAGUGUAGCGGUGAAAUGCGUAGAUAUUAGGAGGAACACCGGUGGCGAAGGCGGCUUACUGGACUGUAACUGACGUUGAGGCUCGAAAGCGUGGGGAGCAAACAGGAUUAGAUACCCUAGUAC
rnacentral:rRNA from 1 species